rnacentral:rRNA from 1 species
AUUGAACGCUGGCGGCAUGCCUUACACAUGCAAGUCGAACGGCAGCACGGAGCUUGCUCUGGUGGCGAGUGGCGAACGGGUGAGUAAUAUAUCGGAACGUACCCUAGAGUGGGGGAUAACGUAGCGAAAGUUACGCUAAUACCGCAUACGAUCUAAGGAUGAAAGUGGGGGAUCGCAAGACCUCAUGCUCGUGGAGCGGCCGAUAUCUGAUUAGCUAGUUGGUAGGGUAAAAGCCUACCAAGGCAUCGAUCAGUAGCUGGUCUGAGAGGACGACCAGCCACACUGGAACUGAGACACGGUCCAGACUCCUACGGGAGGCAGCAGUGGGGAAUUUUGGACAAUGGGCGAAAGCCUGAUCCAGCAAUGCCGCGUGAGUGAAGAAGGCCUUCGGGUUGUAAAGCUCUUUUGUCAGGGAAGAAACGGUGAGAGCUAAUAUCUCUUGCUAAUGACGGUACCUGAAGAAUAAGCACCGGCUAACUACGUGCCAGCAGCCGCGGUAAUACGUAGGGUGCAAGCGUUAAUCGGAAUUACUGGGCGUAAAGCGUGCGCAGGCGGUUUUGUAAGUCUGAUGUGAAAUCCCCGGGCUCAACCUGGGAAUUGCAUUGGAGACUGCAAGGCUAGAAUCUGGCAGAGGGGGGUAGAAUUCCACGUGUAGCAGUGAAAUGCGUAGAUAUGUGGAGGAACACCGAUGGCGAAGGCAGCCCCCUGGGUCAAGAUUGACGCUCAUGCACGAAAGCGUGGGGAGCAAACAGG